rnacentral:misc_RNA from 1 species
GAUGAAGAACGUAGCGAAAUGCGAUAAGUAGUGUGAAUUGCAGAUGUAACGUGAAUCAUCGAAUCUUUGAACGCAAAUUGCACUCUCUGGUAUUCCGGGGAGUAUGCCUGUUUGAGGGUCGCCAAAUCAACAUCGAAAUUCAUUUGCUUUUGUAAAUGUUUAUCGGAUUUGAGCCGUCUUUUUAUAUUCUUUUAAAGUGGCUUAAAAUGUAUUUUUUGGUAUCGAAAAACGUUAUUUUACGAUCAAAAUUGAUUAAAAAACAAACGUUUCGAAUGCCAUCUUUUAAUGUAAUACGUUUGACUGUGGUGUUAAUCAUAGUUUUCAUUCGUAUACGAUUUUUUAAUUUUUGACCUCAAAUCAGGUAAGAACACCCGCUGAACUUAAGCAUAUCAAUAAGCGGGAGGA